rnacentral:rRNA from 1 species
GUAGGUGGCAAGCGUUGUCCGGAAUUAUUGGGCGUAAAGCGCGCGCAGGCGGUUCUUUAAGUCUGAUGUGAAAGCCCACGGGCUCAACCGUGGAGGGCAUUGGAAACUGGAGAACUUGAGUACAGAAGAGGAAAGCGGAAUUCCACGUGUAGCGGUGAAAUGCGUAGAGAUGUGGAGGAACACCAGUGGCGAAGGCGGCUUUCUGGUCUGUAACUGACGCUGAGGCGCGAAAGCGUGGGGAGCAAACAGGAUUAGAUACCCUGGUAGUCCACGCCGUAAACGAUGAGUGCUAAGUGUUAGGGGGGUUUCCGCCCCUUAGUGCUGCAGCUAACGCAUUAAGCACUCCGCCUGGGGAGUACGGCCGCAAGGCUG